rnacentral:lncRNA from 1 species
GAGUUGAUCUCCUUUGGAAUACUCUGUAAUGAUUGUUGCCAAGUCUUUGUGAGUUUGUGCAUAAUCGUUACAAGAGGAUCAAUGCAUAUAAGUUUAGAAUCUAACAGAUUUCAGUAAAUGGCAUGAAUUUGGAAUUCUUGCAUUUGCAGUAAGGAUUUGGGAGUGUGAAAAGAGAAUCAUUGAAGUUAUGUUCAAUUGAUCUAGUUCACAAAGUAAAGAUCAUAGACAAACAUAGUAUGCAUACUUGGUGUGUGGCAUGACUAGUGUUUAAAAAAACAUAGUGUACAUGCUUGGAGCAUGGGACAACUAUUGUUUUAAAUUCAAGAAUAAAGUUGAUAGCUGAAACAGUAUACAAUGAAUAAUGUGUAAUCAUAUGGUGAUAAAUAAAAGGUGUUUUAUUUAUGUUCAAAGGGUUGAUACCAUAUUAGAUUCAAUUAUUAUUGUGUUUCACUUUGCAUGUUUUGACUUCCCGAAUAAACUGGGUUAUUCUUCCGGAAUGACUAAGUUAUUCAAACCAUCCACAGUCGGUCAUAUGUUGGAAGUAGAUAUGAAUUAAGACUGUCAUGGGUUGGCUUGUAGAGGUCUAAGGUGUUGGACAAAGGGCUACAACACUCAUGAGUGCUCAUAAGUUCUGAGUAUUGGAUUCAACCCGCGCUCAUUGGAAUCACUUCAUGGAUUUUAUCACGAGUGAUCAUGAGACGAUAAUAUCUUAUAUUCUUCAAACCUAGAGAUAUGAGUUGUUACUAUGAGUUGAUAGUACAUUGAUUGCACGAAAACGCAUUUGGUAACUCGGUGCUAUAAAACGUGCCUUUGUGUAUGAUUCAACAAGUAGUAGAACAAGCCAUAUGAGUCGAAGUUUAUCCAUUCCUUUUACCUUCGGGAUAAAAGCGAUAUCUGUGGGCCCCUCGAUGAUUUGAUGAUGACAAAUGGAAGUGCUCGGCCGGGCCAGGACUGAUUUGAUUUGUUCAAUUAGUCAGUCGUCAUAAAUCGGAAAUCGGGAAACAACAAAUGGACAGAGAGAAUGAUUAUAAUCCAUGUCUCAGUCCAUAUGAUAUCUAGAAUGGAGGAAUAUAUGAUCCCUUAUCUAAUGGACAAGUCAUUGACAAAGGUCAGAGUUCAUCUACAAGGUCAGAGUUCGACAGAAGCUUUUGAGAGCUACGAUUGCCAGUUGGUUCCUGAAGUCAUACGCAAUAAUAGUUUUAGACUUAUCCAAGUGGGAGACUGUUGGAUUAAUGUCUAAGUCCAUAACUAUAAUUGGUAAGACUUGACCCGACCCGGCAUGGUCCAUUUGGGUUGCAUACCAUCAUGCACUUGGAUAGACUAUAAUGAGAGAAAUAAGACACUUAUGGUUAUUAAUAUAUUAUAAGUUCUAGUAUAUUAAUAAUAAGAAUAAUAAGAUUAUUUAAUUAGUAUUGAUCAAGAAUUAAUCUAGGAUUAAUUAAGUGAUCAAAAGAAGACUAAUUAAAUAUAUGGGUUGAUUGUGUAAAUCAUCCAUACUUGUAUAGUGGGCUAAUGCUCCAUGGAUAAUCAAGUUGGGCUAAAACCCAUAGGAUGGUCCAUGGAUGCUCCAUGGUGUAUUUGUACCCAUGGAUCCAAGGAAAUGGAAAGCCAUGACAAUUAAGAGUUUACCCUAAUUGUGUAACUAUAUAAGCAUCUUAUUAUUGAGGAAAAAUCGGCCACUAGUAGUAUUCAAGAAAGGGCUAGCCGAUUUUGGUGAGUGUAGAAUUCUCUCAAGUCAUUCUAAGUGUUUUGAUGAUUGUGAUUCCAUUUGAGGUGUCACACUUGGGGCACUAAGCACUCAAGCUUCAUGAAGACUUUCUACAUCAAGAGGUAUGUAUUCUAUCUUGUUACAUUAUUGUUUUGUAUGCUAGAUUAGGAUAAUACCUUGGAAGUUCUUAUUUGCAUGUAUAAUAGAGAAAACAUAGAUCCAAGGUAUUUAGGGUUGCAUGUACACUUAGGAGUGUUAGAAUGCUCAAAACCCAACAGUGGUAUCAGAGCCUAGGCUUGUUUUCUUGUUAUACCUGCAAUAGAAGCUGAAAAAACGAAUCUGGUGCUGUCUGGCCAUCAGACUCGGCGAGUCCAUCAGGAGACUCGACGAGUCCAUGCCUAAAAAGUGAUGAAUUCGAUCCAACUCGCCGAGUUUGUUCAUGCACUCGACGAGUUGGACCCCCAGACAGCAUAUUUUCGAGUUUUUUGGCUAGAAAUGGACUAGGAACAUUACCCUAAGUUGUUUUUGAACUUAUAAACUUGUUUUUGAUGUGGUAAUGUUCAUGCUAAUCCAUUUUCAAAGAUAAUUGUCAAUAGAUUCAUGUUUUGUAUUAGUUUAAGGUUUAGACUAAUUACAUGAAAAAGUUUGAUUUGAAUUAUCUUGUUCUUAUGAGUUGCUUAGAUUAAUAGAAAUGUUGAGUGAAAUAGUUGUUUUCAAUCCAUUUUAAUCUAAGAGUUGAGUAUAAAAUGUGUUUGUGUAACUUGUCCUCAAGUUACAUGAAGAGUCACAUUAAAGACUCAUAAAACUCAUAAGAGUUGGCAAUGGUUACAAAAUGAAGAGUCUUGUGUCAUUGAAUAAUUUUUUUUGACUCCAUAACUUGUCCUCAAGUUAUGGAAGUUCAAGAGUCACUUCAUUAAAGAAAAAUAUGUAACCAUAAUUAAAUCCAUAAGUUAUAAAAUAAAGAAAAAGUUAGUUCUUUUAUUAGUUUAAAGUCUUCCAUAACUUGUCCUCAAGUUAUGGAACUUGAAGAGUUUUUGGAUUAAAACUACUUUAAACACAUAAGUUAUGGAAUUAAUUAGUUUUGAAUAGUUUCAAAACUUGCCCUCAAGUUUUGGAAUUUGAAAAGUUUUCAAGUAUGAAUACUUUAAUUCCAAGUUAGCCCUUAGAAUUUUAAAAGUUAAAAUUCAACCCUUAUACUUUAUAAUAUUAUAAGUUAAUAAUAUAUAUAUGUAUAAGAGUAAAGUCAGUCUUACCGCUAGUACGCCUCAUUCACGAAGCCGGUCUAUAAGGUGGGUAUAAGGUUGUUGCCUAUAAAAUGGCAACUUAAUGGGUGUCCACUCUCACCCACCGCUUGCUUGACUGGUGGAGGGUCGUUAGCCGAACGGGUUUGACAGGACUAGAAUUCUCCCUUCAUUAAAAGUAUUAAUGAUAAUACUAAGUAACUAAACUCUUAAUAAUACCCAAUCUUAGUUACUUAGGAAAAAUGUGAAUAAGGUGCUAAUCCAUGAAAUUACACUUUACACUUUGUCUAAGUCGUUAGUGGAGCGUGUGUGGUUAACCGGCACACUAACUUGGACUUAACAAGGUAGGUAAAGGGUGACUUAAUAUUUAUCAUAGUAUCGAUGGAGCGUGUGUGGUUAACCGGCACAUCGAUUGAGGGGUAAUUUAUUAAGGGUACCAAGUGAUUUGCAUGGUUACUUCACACCUUGUUUUGUGAUCCUCGGCAUCCCAGUCACAAAACCUGAAGGGCACACUCGAGAUUGAAACAUGCCUUUGAAAAGUUCAAUGAAUCUCAAAGAUCUAGGAGUUUCAAAACCAAUUAAAACCUAAUAAUACAUUUCGUUUAUCUUGGUGGAAAUUGGUGAAUCGUCAUUCACCUACCUUCAAAUAUUUUAUAGCUUGGAUUACGGCAUACCUCUUCUAAGUUAUAAAAUAGUUUGUUGGGUCCUAGCCUUAAUAUUUCAUAUUGGGUGUCAUAUUAAGGACUUUAAAUCAACUAUCUUGAAUAUCUCCCAAAAGAUGUCUGGUUUAGACACCUAUGAUCUUCCCAAAUCUCUUGAAACAAGGUUUCCUAAUGAAGAUGAUGUCCCAUGGAUAUCAUACUUCUUCACCUCUUCAAAUUAUUCUCCCUAACCCACAAGUUCUUGAAAAGUUUAAGGUCACUCAGGCCCUAUUGGCAAGGCAAGGUCUAGGUGUGGUCACAUCUUGGAGAUGUAGUCACAUAUUGACAAGCCGGGAGAGUUGGGUGUCAAAGUCUUGAGAAAGUUGGUGGUUCAACCACUUUCUAAGUCACAUAGUGAGUUCCUUUGGGACACCUAUGAAACAGACUAUGACAAGACCCUUAAUGAUCUUAUCUAUUUGCUAAGAUCAACUUCCUAAAACUUUAUGGACAUUGACAAUGAUGACAUUGGAUAUCCAGUAAAGCAUUCUCUUCCCAAUGGAAAGGGAUCGGCCAUAGUCAACUCGGUUGACCAAAUGGUAAAGAGAAAAGCUAAGUCUGUGAUAGUCCCGUGUACCAUUAUCAAAGGGUCCAUAUGUUUAUAUUGCCAAAGGAAGGGGCAUUGGUUGCGAAGCUGCCAAAUUUACCUAAGGAUGUUAAAGUCAAUAAGUUUGACUCUACUUCAGGUAAAGUCCACUAUCUAACUCUGUUAAGUUUCUAUUCUGAGAUUCUUGAUACAUGAUGUGACUGGGUCACAUGGUGAUGUUUUAAGAAUCAAAGAAAAGUGAAGAAACUUAAAGAAAGAAUAUGCUGAAUCUGAUGGCGUAGAUGGAUUUCUAUCGCAUAGUUUGAAGAUCGGAUUCUUGAGCUACUUCUUAGGAGUUAUGAGAUAUUGCUUAGGAAUAGAUAACAACAAGUUUUCAUAUGGAUUGUAAGGAUAAGUUUUUCCGCAAAGUUUUAAAAUAAAAGAAAAUUUUUUAUAUUUUAUUUAUUUUAAAAUAUCCUUACAAUGGCAUUUGAGGAAAAAUUGUUGCUUAUAUGAUUCCAUUAAGAGCAAGAGUGGAAAUAUGAAAUUGAUUCUUUCAUUUGUGGUAAUGUCUAAAUUUACCAAAUAAGGAAAGAUUCUCAUCACCCAAGUUUCAAUUGGACCGGAACUUGGAAUCAUGCAAGUUGUAUAGCAUGAUGAAUGAGAACUUUCAAGUUUUGGAAAAUUAAGACUAAUUACUUGUUCACAUGGAUGUGUGAGUCAAGUAAAGGACUUAGGGAUCGAGUACACAUUCUUGUGCACUGAUUAAGUCCACCACUAAAGAUCGAUAAGAAGAAUCAAAUAAGGCAGAAGGAUAAAAGUUUCUCAAAUCUGAAAAGAUGGGAGAGUACUUUAGUAUCAGUUUUGUGAUCAUCUUAAUGAUUAAGAAACCAUAUCAAAAUUAGUUCUCUAAGGAAAUCUUAGUGCAUUCUUAUGACUAAGAAGAGGAACUUGAAUUGUUGAAAUGGUUAAAUCAAGAAGAUGAGUCAUACUUCGUUCCAAUACAAGUCUUAGAGUCAUACUCCAAGAUUGUCAUUUGAGUGACAUGUCUUAAAGAAGGUUUAAAACACUUGUCAAAUGUAAGAGUAAAAGUUUUCUACUCUUGUACAUUUGAAAUUGGUAAGUUGUGAUGUUUUGGAUAAAACAAAGACCAACUUAGGCCAAUUGGGUAAAGUGUUUUUCUUGAUUAGAAUCCGCACUAUCUCUUGGAUGUUUGACAAGGGAGUCUUAUAUGUCAAGAGGACAGUGGGAGUCUUAAAGGUCUUGAAAGUCUCAAGAAAUAAUCAAGAAUAAAACCUAAAGUUCUUCACUAGCACACGACUUGAGGUUUAUAACCUAUCGUGUUGACAUAUCUGUGCCCAUUCCAGUUAAAGUUGGCUUUGCAUAUGAGUUCUUAGAGUUCUCAGUUUGUUGCAUAACAACUUGGAAGCAAUGGCAGGCCCUUGAGCUGCCAGGUGGCAAGAAGUUAAGAUUGAGUUCAAUCCAUAUGGUUUUGGAUUUGUCAUUAUCUUUGUCUUGUGAUUAUGGUUUGACAAAUUCAUAUGGGUAGGAACUCAUACACCAUAUAAAUCUAAGUGUCAUAAGGUUUCUCUCCGAUUCAUGAAAAUGAUGGUGAGGAAACGCUUUCACUAAGUAGAUUUUACGAAGAUAUCAAUUGUGUUAUUUGCAUUUUCAAAAGUCGUUAGUGGAGCGCGUGUGGUUAACCGGCACACUAACAUGGACUUGUGAGAAAUGGCAAAUGCCUAAGCAAUUGAGACCAUGAUUACGGUAUCCCUUUUCAUGGUUCUUGAAAUUGCUUAGACACACAGGUGAGCUAUCUACGGAAAGGGUGUAUGAAUCUAAAUUUCAGACUGUCCAGCUGAUUUCUGAGUACAUGUCAAAGCUAGUGGGAGCAUAAGUGUUAUGCUAAUAAUCAUCAUGUUAGUGGGAGCAUGAUAAUUAUGAUAAGUAUUGCAAGUUAGCAAUGUUAAUUAUAGAAAACAAAAGUUUCAAUUGGGAAAAAGUUGUUUUGCUAUAAUUAAGGGAGAGGAAAUUAUGCUUCAUCUCAAAUCUAUAAGCUUAGAUCGUGAGGUUUUAAUCAUUUAGUCAAGGAUAUAUAUGAAUUUCAUGUUGGAAUGGCUCAACAUAAGGAAAUUCUGUAUAUGGGUCCAUUAUUUGCGUUCUAAAAUUCGAUUAUGAUUACGGCAUCCCUUUUCAUAAUCUGAAUUAUGAGAACUUGGCAAAUUGAAAUGGAAAUAUUAUAGCAAAAGACUGGUUUAGUCUUUAUGUAAGACAUCAUGAAUCGUGUCCCAUAUGCUUCGGAUAUAGGAUCGAUUACAUGUGCUAUAUUCAUCCGUUCUAAAAUUUUCCAAAUGCCUGGGGCAUUAAGAAGGGAAAAGGUUUAGAACUGGAUAUGACUAAAAGGAUUAAACAAUUGUCGAGGACAAUCUAAGGUUUACCAAAGAUUGGUUACUCAAGGACAAUUGGAAGUAUAGUGAUAAUUCUGGAAGGACCAUAUUGACAUAAUCUGUAAGGAGGCAACUCUUGUUCAGAAGUGAUAGUCAAAAUGGAAUCUGGAAAUGUUUCAAAGUUAGAAUUUUCAAUCUGUGUAAGAUUAAGGAAACUUAAUGCAAGAAGGAUAUUUCCAAGGAGUUGAUCUCCUUUGGAAUACUCUGUAAUGAUUGUUGCCAAGUCUUUGUGACUUUGUGCAUAAUCAUUACAAGAGGAUCAAUGCAUAUAAGUUUAGAAUCUAACAGAUUUCAGUAAAUGGCAUGAAUUUGGAAUUCUUGCAUUUGCAGUAAGGAUUUGGGAGUGUGAAAAGAGAAUCAUUGAAGUUAUGUUCAAUUGAUCUAGUUCACAAAGUAAAGAUCAUAGACAAACAUAGUAUGCAUACUUGGUGUAUGGCAUGACUAGUGUUUAGAAAACAUAGUGUACAUGCUUGGAGCAUGGGACAACUAUUGUUUUAAAUUCAAGAAUAAAGUUGAUAGCUGAAACAGUAUACAAUGAAUAAUGUGUAAUCAUAUGGUGAUAAAUAAAAGGUGUUUUAUUUAUGUUCAUAGGUUUUGAUACCAUAUUGGAUUCAAUUACUCUUGUGUUUCAUUUUGCAUGUUUUGACUUCCAGAAUAAACUAGGUUAUUCUUCCGGAAUGACUAAGUUAAUCAAACCAUCCACAGUCGGUCAUAUGUUGGAAGUAGAUAUGAAUUAAGACUGUCAUGGGUUGGCUUGUAGAGGUCUAAGGUGUUGGACAAAGGGCUACAACACUCAUGAGUGCUCAUAAGUUCUGAGUAUUGGAUUCAACCCGCGCUCAUUGGAAUCACUUCAUGGAUUUUAUCACGAGUGAUCAUGAGACGAUAAUAUCUUAUAUUCUUCAAACCUAGAGAUAUGAGUUGUUACUAUGAGUUGAUAGUACAUUGAUUGCACGAAA